AUUGAACGCUGGCGGCAGGCCUAACACAUGCAAGUCGAGCGAGCGACGGACGGGUGAGUAAUGUCUGGGAAACUGCCUGCUGGAGGGGGAUAACUACUGGAAACGGUAGCUAACACCGCAUACCAUCAGAUGUGCCCAUAUGGGAUUAGCUUGUAGGUGGGGUAAUGGCUCACCUAGGCGACGAUCCCUAGCUGGUCUGAGAGGAUGACCAGACACACUGGAACUGAGACACGUUCCAGACUGCUACGGGGGGCAGAAGUGGGGAAUAUUGCGCAAUGGACGCAAGCCUGAUGCAGCCAUGCCGCGUGUAUGAAGAAGGCCUUCGGGUUGUAAAGUACUUUCAGCGAGGAGGCGUUACUCUCAGAAGAAGCACAGGCUAACUCCGUGCCAGCAGCCGCGGUAAUAC
rnacentral:rRNA from 1 species